CAGUAGCCACGGUAAAACGAAGGGGGCUAGCGUUGUUCGGAAUUACUGGGCGUAAAGCGCACGCAGGCGGCUCGAUAAAUUAGAAGCGAAAGCCUUGGGCUUAACCUGAGAAUUGCUUUUAAGACUGUCGAGCUAGAAUCCAGAAGAGGGUAGUGGAAUUCCGAGUGUAGAGGUGAAAUUCGUAGAUAUUCGGAAGAACACCAGUGGCGAAGGCGACUACCUGGUCUGGCAUUGACGCUCAUGUGCGAAAGCGUGGGGAGCAAACAGGAUUAGAUACCCGCGUAGUCCCUGUCUCUUAUAC
rnacentral:rRNA from 1 species